rnacentral:rRNA from 1 species
GCUUUUUCUUUCACCGGAGCUUGCUCCACCGAAAGAAAAAGAGUGGCGAACGGGUGAGUAACACGUGGGUAACCUGCCCAUCAGAAGGGGAUAACACUUGGAAACAGGUGCUAAUACCGUAUAACACUAUUUUCCGCAUGGAAGAAAGUUGAAAGGCGCUUUUGCGUCACUGAUGGAUGGACCCGCGGUGCAUUAGCUAGUUGGUGAGGUAACGGCUCACCAAGGCAACGAUGCAUAGCCGACCUGAGAGGGUGAUCGGCCACACUGGGACUGAGACACGGCCCAGACUCCUACGGGAGGCAGCAGUAGGGAAUCUUCGGCAAUGGACGAAAGUCUGACCGAGCAACGCCGCGUGAGUGAAGAAGGUUUUCGGAUCGUAAAACUCUGUUGUUAGAGAAGAACAAGGAUGAGAGUAGAACGUUCAUCCCUUGACGGUAUCUAACCAGAAAGCCACGGCUAACUACGUGCCAGCAGCCGCGGUAAUACGUAGGUGGCAAGCGUUGUCCGGAUUUAUUGGGCGUAAAGCGAGCGCAGGCGGUUUCUUAAGUCUGAUGUGAAAGCCCCCGGCUCAACCGGGGAGGGUCAUUGGAAACUGGGAGACUUGAGUGCAGAAGAGGAGAGUGGAAUUCCAUGUGUAGCGGUGAAAUG